GUGCUUGCUUCGGCAGCACAUAUACUAAAAUUGGAACGAUACAGAGAAGAUGAGCAUGGUCCCUGCACAAGGAGGACACACAGAUUCGUGAAGCAUUCCAUAUUUUG